ensembl:lncRNA
UUUGGUUAAAAUGAGCAUCUAAAUAUAACGCAAAAAAAAAAAAAAAAAAUUUCCAGGGCUAAAAUGACUGUCUCACCUUGUGCGCUGUGUGGUAGAGCGAGAGGAACGGGCAGUCUCAGAAAGCAUGAAGAUGGAAGUAUGUCUGUUCAUCUAAAUCUGAAAAGUACGUAACAUUGAGCAUUCACAUUGGGCUUCUCUCGGUUUGUUUUUUGGUUUGUUGGUUUUUUUUUCUCCUUUCCUGUUUUCUUUUCUUUCCUGGUGUGCAGCUUGGUCUCCCUAAAUCACAUAGGCAGAAGAGCUCAUUCUGUCAGUUUUAUACUGUAACUUCCAGACUGUUAUGCUACAUGGAUUUCACAGAUUGCUUUUAUUUCUUCUGACCAUGUUUGUCUGAGCGACUGUGGCCUCUCUGGUACAUUUACACUUCAGAUCAAGUCUGCAUGCAGGGGCAAACACUAUGUUACUAUAUUGCUUUCCGUAGAAAAGGACUUCACUCUAGAGAGCAUAACUGUAGAUGGAAAGAUUCUCAGUUGGCAGACAGCAUCUCAGAAAUUUUCUAGUACAGGAGAAUUCUUGAAGGAGUUAAAUGGUUGCAAUUUGAUUUAAUCUUUGGCAUCUGUAGCUGAAAAUCAACUUUGGAGGAACAGUUAGAGAUAUGCGUAGAUUUGUUCACAUGUGUGUGUGCUAAUGCUUGGUUUUUCUUUAAGUAUUCACGGAAAAAGAUGGUCUUUACUGAGGAAUAAUAUCUAAACCUAUGAGAGAAAUAUUCACGCAUUGUAGCAUGUUCUCAACAGGAACAGUUUGAAAUGCAAGAUCAGUAUUUCGUCACAUACAAUGGCAGUGGUCUACAUUGGAUGUAUAAAACAUGAACAGGGAAUUUUAAACAAAGUAAAACAUAAUCUAGAAGGGUUUAUGGACAUUAGAGCAAAACAUUCUAGAAUGGAUAUCAUUAAACCUCAAUAAAUUUACUAUAAGCAACAUUUAUAUGCACAGAUUUUACUGAGUUACUUGUACAACUUACAAAAAACACUUAAAGCAUGGUCCCCUGAGAGGCCAAGAAAGUUUCUGGUUAAGUUCUCCUUCAUAUUCAUUAAUUUACCACUUACAGCUUAAUUUUGUUUGUUUGUUUGGUUGGUUUGUUUUUAAUGUAAGACUGGGGGAGGGAUAGAAAUACAAAAUGACGGAAUUCUCAGGAAACAUAUCGCUUAACUUCUUGCCAAAAAGUCAACACCUAAAGAAGCUCCAAAAAUAAUUUCUAAGUAGAGGAUGGUAUUUGUUGAUUGAUAAUUUGUAAAAAUUAGAGCAUCAAUCAACCGUGUUCCUCUUUUUUUUCUUUUUUAAAUAAGAUCAUUUCCUGCCUCUAGUCAAAUUAAAUUAUUUAGUGUUAAAUGUUCACAACUUUAUACAAUGUGUGUAAGUGCAAUAUGUAAACAUGUAUGAAAUCAUGUUAAAAAUGAAAUAUAGUAAUACAGCUAAGAAAAGUGGCUUUUGGAAUAUGAAUAUCUGGUAAGUUACGGUCAGUUCUAAGUCUGGAAAAGAGAUAUAUUAGUUUUCAUAUGAAAUUAACUGAUUUCAUGACUGUGGGAAUACAAUAUUGUGUAUUUUUCUACAGUAACUGGGAAUCUUUACUUCCUCCACCACCUGCUUGGCUUUACCACUCCUUUCUACCUUAACCCUUCCUGCAAAAGUUAAGAAAUAGGGAAAUAGGGAUGCUUAUGUUUUGGGGUGGAAGAAGAAUCACCUCCCUUGAUAUAUUAUAAAGGGGGCAUUGAUACAUGUUCCUGCCUUCCCUGGCAUUUUAAGGUGAAAACAUUCUUAAUGUUCAUGGGUCAGUAAUGGGCUAAAACCACUAGAUACUCUUUUUCAUGUAACCAGUUCUUAAUGCCAAUAAUGCAUUUAUGAUCCACCUUCUUCAUAAAUGCUACCGGAAACUUUAAGGCCAAAAUAUAGUGUGCAGAGCUAUUUUUUUAACCCAGAAACAGUGGAACUUCCUCUAUGCUAAAGGAGCAGCUACAUCAAGGGUUUUAAGGGAUGUAGCUGCUUUUUAUUGUAUCUUAUUUAUACAUGUAAAAAAGGAUGGAGGGGAGAAAGGAUGUUGCCUCUUGCUUUGAUGUGAUUUUAUUCUAAGGGCUCUGAUAUUUAGGCUGAUAGAAGUUGGCUUGGAAGCAGUGCUUAGUCUCACAUGUUACCAUUGUCCGGGGAUGUCUGAGCUAUUUUCAGAUGUAGUAACAGCACAGUGUUGUCUUCGGUUGCAGUCUCUCUCGGCUCAGUUUCUUGCACCGCUGGAGUGUUCAUUACCACUGAAGUGUAUUGGAACAACAGAGUGAUGCAAGAUGUGUAUAUCAACAGUAGAGGAUGGAUUGUGCCCUUGGUGUUAACAAUGUGCCUUUUGUUCCAAAUGCCGGUGGUAGGGCAUGCAUCUUGGCCUCUUUAACCCUCAGAAUACUGGAUAGUAGGGAUGAAAUCUUUUUAAAUGCUAUACUUGUCUUAGAACAUCCUGUAGAUGAUCAAGGCCUUAAUAGAAACAAUAAGGCAAUCACACUGCUAGGGUAGAGAGGACACACUGUUCUUGGAGUACGUUUCAUUAAGGGGUUAAAGAUGGCCCUUCCUCAUUGGUUGUAUUUUAACAUCAAAUUGAAUUUUUUUUUCUUUGAUAAAUUUUUGUUAUGGUGACACUAGACAGUAAUCAACUGUGUUUGUAAAAAUUUACCUCAAACUCUUUAGUUUUAUAGUGUGAUUUAAUCCCAGGGCAUUUGGUAUGAACCAAAGUGCAUUCCUUUUAUAUGUGCCUGGCUCUUAUAAAGGUGGCCAGGGAUUUUUACAAUUUGGGUGCAAGGCACUUAAGCCACUUUUAACUUGGUGGGUGGUUUGGAGUUAUAAAUGACUUCAUGGGAAUGUUGAAAACACUUUAGACAUAAGUAGCAUUGGGCAAUAUUAGAAUCUUUAGGAAAGGGUGUGCAUUAUUUAAUGCUCUCCAUUUUUUUAGUAUUUUUUUCCCAUCAAUAAUAUUUGUGAUAAGUACAAAAAGAACUCUUCCAGUCAGCAAAGAUUAGAAUAUUGCCCAGUUUAAUGCUAUGGUAGCAUUUAAAUAACAUUUGUGAAUUAUUGUUUCUAGGGGCUUGUACAUCUCUGCUACAAAUUGUGAUUACUCAGUUCAACUGCUACAAUUACGUCUAAGCAGUAGCUUGGGUUUUUAUUGGGCAACGACUUAGACACGUGACUGUAAUAUGCUGCAACUGUGUGUACUGAAAACGUGAAAAACGAUUGAAUGUGGACUGUGUAUAUAUUUAUGUAUAAUUUUCUGUGAGAUGCUGCUGUUGCCACUUCACAUUAAAGAUGUUGUAGUGGGUUUUAAUCCUAGUGGCCAGUUCUAUGAUACUGUAUGUAUUGUACAGCUGAUGACAGGAGUUAAGACUGUUCUAGUGAAUAUUUGUUACAUUUUAUUGUUGUGGCCAGAGAUCAUUUCAGAAUAAAAUUUUAUGUC